UGAAGUAAGUAAGGGCGUACGGUGAAUGCCUUGGUGCCAACAGGCGAAGAAGGACGCGGCAAGCUGCGAAAAGCCUCGGGAAGCUGCAAGCAAGCGAUGAUCCGGGGAUAUCCGAAUGGGGUAACCUGAUCGAGGCAAUACUCGAUCGUUCAUACCUGAAUACAUAGGGUAUGAAACGCGAAACCCGCUGAAGUGAAACAUCUCAGUAAGCGGAGGAAAAGAAAGAGAAAUCGAUUCCGUAAGUAGUGGCGAGCGAAAGCGGAUGGAGCCCAAACCGAAGGUAUUCCUUCGGGGUUGUAGGACCACGACCUAUUCGACCAUACUGGAUAGUAGAACAGCCUGGAAAGGCUGGCCGUAGAAGGUGAAAGCCCUGUAGACGAAAUCCAGAGUGGGAAUUAGUGGUAUCCUGAGUAAUACAUCACACGUGGAACGAUGUAUGAAACCGCGCGGACCACCGCGCAAGGCUAAAUACUAGUUGGCGACCGAUAGUGAACAAGUACCGCGAGGGAAAGGUGAAAAGAACCGCUGUGAGCGGAGUGAAAUAGAACCUGAAACCGUAUGUCUACAAAGUGUCAGAGCAGAGCAAUCUGCGAUGGCGUGCCUUUUGUUUAAUGAGUCUGCGAGUCAGUGUUUGUGGCAAGACUAAGGGCUUCCGGCCCGGAGUCGCAGCGAAAGCAAGUCCGAACAGGGCGCAAUAAGUCGCAGGUACUGGACCCGAAGCGGAGGUGACCUACCCUUGGCCAGGUUGAAGCAUGGGUAAAACCAUGUGGAGGACCGAACAGGUGAACGUUGAAAAGUUCUCUGAUGAGCUGAGGGUAGGAGUGAAAGGCUAAUCAAACCCCGUGAUAGCUGGUUCUCUUCGAAAUGCAUUUAGGUGCAGCGUCACGUGCUGAUGCGCGGGGGUAGAGCACUGACAAGGCUAGGGGGCACACCCGCUUACCAAACCUUAUCAAACUCCGAAUACCGUGCAAUGGAACGUGGCAGUGAGACAGUGGGGGAUAAGCUUCAUUGUCGAGAGGGAAACAACCCAGACCAGCAGCUAAGGUGCCUAAAUAACGCUCAGUGGAAAGGAUGUGGGAUUACACAGACAGUGAGGAUGUUGGCUUAGAAGCAGCCACCAUUUAAAAAAUGCGUAAUAGCUUACUCAUCGAGUGAUCCUGCGCCGAAAAUGAUUGGCGAUCAAGCGUUAUACCGAAGCUCUGGACUUUGCCGCAAGGCAGAGUGGUAGAAGAGCGUUGCAUGCGCGUCGAAGGGUGAUGGCGACUGACCCUGGAGCACAUGCAAGUGAGUAUGCAGACAUGAGUAACGUUAAGCCGGGUGAAAUCCCCGGCCGCCGUAAACCCGAGGUUUCCAGGGCAACGUGUUUCGUCCCUGGGUUAGCCGGGACCUAAGCCGAGGCCGAGAGGCGUAGGCGAUGGACAUCAGGUUAAUAAUCCUGAGCUCGCGACCCUUAAACUGGGGGGACGCAUGAGAAAAGAUGACUAGGUUAUUGAAUUCCGAGUUGAGUCUACGGACUCAGCGCAUCAUUGGAUCGAGUGCCAAGAAAAGCCCCAGCGUAUGCUAAGCGACCCGUACCGCAAACCGACACAGGUGGGUGGGUAGAAUAUACCAAGGCGUAAGAGUGAAACCUGGUUAAGGAACUCGGCAAAUUAGCCCCGUAACUUCGGAAGAAGGGGUGCCUGCAGCGAUGCAGGCCGCAGAGAAAUGGCCCAACCGACUGUUUAUCAAAAACACAGCACUCUGCAAAGACGCAAGUCGAAGUAUAGGGUGUGACACGUGACCAAUGCCGAAAGAUUAAGGCAAGGGGUUAGCCGCAAGGCGAAGCUCUGAACCCAAGUCCCGGUGAAUGUCGGCCGUAACUAUAACGGUCCUAAGGUAGCGAAAUUCCUUGUCGGGUAAGUUCCGACCUGCACGAAUCGUGAAACGAGUUGGGCACUGUCUCAACCAGGCGCUCAGUGAAAUUGUAGUGGCGGUGAAGAUGCCGCCUACCCGCAGAAGGACGGAAAGACCCUAUAGACCUUAACUGUAAGCUGUCAUUGUUUCUUCGGUUUUAAUGCUCAGAGUAAGUGGGAGACGCUGAAGACGCCCUUUAGGGGGCGUCCGAGUCAUCAAUGAGACACCACCCUUUGAAACUGGAGGAUCUAACCCUGAGCCGUGAAUCCGGCCAGAGGACCGUGUCAGCCGGUCAGUUUUACUGGGGCGGUAUCCUCCCAAAGAGUAACGGAGGAGCGCGAAGGUGGGCUCAGCCCGGUUGGCAACCGGGUGUCGAGUGCAUGGGCAUAAGCCCGCCUAACUGUGAGACCAACAAGUCGAGCAGAUGCGAAAGCAGGCCCAAGUGAUCCGGCGGUAGAAAGUGGAAUUGCCGUCGCUCAACGGAUAAAAGGUACCUUAGGGAUAACAGGCUGAUCACGCCCAAGAGUUCAUAUCGACGGCGUGGUUUGGCACCUC
rnacentral:rRNA from 1 species